UGAGCACUUAUGGACCUGUCCGGUGUGCAAUGACGUUGUUGCCCACGACAGGUAAUACAGGUCGUAGGCAUGCAAGGGACUGGAGAACACGAGACCCUGCUUGGCAAGAAGUCUUCGCUUGGUGUCACUCAAUCUGGCAGGCAAGAGGGAAACAACAGUCACGAGAGGGUAUUUCAAACUCAAGCAAGAGAUAAAUACAUGCCAUUUUUCACAAAUUAAAGGCCUGCUUGUGCUAAAAGAAG